GAUGAACGCUGGCGGCGUGCCUAAUACAUGCAAGUCGAGCGAACGGACGAGAAGCUUGCUUUUCUGAUGUUAGCGGCGGACGGGUGAGUAACACGUGGAUAACCUACCUAUAAGACUGGGAUAACUUCGGGAAACCGGAGCUAAUACCGGAUAAUAUUUUGAACCGCAUGGUUCAAAAGUGAAAGACGGUCUUGCUGUCACUUAUAGAUGGAUCCGCGCUGCAUUAGCUAGUUGGUAAGGUAACGGCUUACCAAGGCAACAAUGCAUAGCCGACCUGAGAGGGUGAUCGGCCACACUGGAACUGAGACACGGUCCAGACUCCUACGGGAGGCAGCAGUAGGGAAUCUUCCGCAAUGGGCGAAAGCCUGACGGAGCAACGCCGCGUGAGUGAUGAAGGUCUUCGGAUCGUAAAACUCUGUUAUUAGGGAAGAACAUAUGUGUAAGUAACUGUGCUCAUCUUGACGGUACCUAAUCAGAAAGCCACGGCUAACUACGUG
rnacentral:rRNA from 1 species